UAGCCAUUAGUAGAAGGGGACUUUUUGAACGACCGAGCAUCUUCCUUUAGUUACAGCGAGUCUUGUGUGCUGGAAACAAUGAGAGUGAUGGAUGAAGGCGCAGGCUGGAGCCAAGCCAGAGGCACGCUGGUCCACCGUAGUAAGGGAUUCUGACAUCGAUGGAGACAGGACAUAGAUAUUCUACAGGACAUGGAGAAAGGAGUUGAAGAGAGUGCAGGAUUUAUUGGUGAAAUGGAAUAUACUGGCAUUUCGAGCUCUGGAGGAUUCCAAGGAAGGAGGUAGAGGCAAGAGACUUGCUGCAAGUUCAACAGCCUGGGAGGCUUGGUUGAGGGUCCAGUCCAUCACAACAGGGAUGCUGAACAUCAGGAAUGUGAGGUGGCUGCCCACACCACAGCCACCAUC
rnacentral:lncRNA from 1 species